rnacentral:rRNA from 1 species
GACGAACCGUGCGAACGUUGUUCGGAAUCACUGGGCUUAAAGGGCGCGUAGGCGGGCCUUCAAGUCCGGGGUGAAAUCCUCCAGCCUAACUGGAGAAGAGCCUCGGAGACUGAGGGCCUCGAGGAGGGUAGGGGCGUGCGGAACUAUGGGUGGAGCGGUGAAAUGCAUUGAUAUCCAUAGGAACUCCGGUGGCGAAGGCGGCACGCUGGACCCUUUCUGACGCUGAGGCGCGAAAGCCAGGGGAGCAAACGGG